rnacentral:rRNA from 1 species
GAUGAACGCUGGCGGCGUGCCUAAUACAUGCAAGUAGAACGCUGAAGGAGGAGCUUGCUCUUCUGGAUGAGUUGCGAACGGGUGAGUAACGCGUAGGUAACCUGCCUGGUAGCGGGGGAUAACUAUUGGAAACGAUAGCUAAUACCGCAUGACAACAGUUAUUGCAUGAUAACUGUUUAAAAGGGGCAACUGCUCCACUACCAGAUGGACCUGCGUUGUAUUAGCUAGUUGGUGAGGUAACGGCUCACCAAGGCGACGAUACAUAGCCGGCCUGAGAGGGUGAUCGGCCACACUGGGACUGAGACACGGCCCAGACUCCUACGGGAGGCAGCAGUAGGGAAUCUUCGGCAAUGGACGGAAGUCUGACCGAGCAACGCCGCGUGAGUGAAGAAGGUUUUCGGAUCGUAAAGCUCUGUUGUAAGAGAAGAACGAGUGUGAGAGUGGAAAGUUCACACUGUGACGGUAUCUUACCAGAAAGGGACGGCUAACUACGUG